GAACUUAAGCAUAUCAAUAAGCGGAGGAAAAGAAACCAACAGGGAUUACCUCAGUAACGGCGAGUGAAGCGGUAACAGCUCAAAUUUGAAAUCUGGCUCUUUCAGGGUCCGAGUUGUAAUUUGUAGAAGAUGUUUCGGGUGUGGCUCCGGUCUAAGUUCCUUGGAACAGGACGUCGUAGAGGGUGAGAAUCCCGUAUGUGACUGGCUGCCUCCGCCCAUGUGAAACUCUUUCGACGAGUCGAGUUGUUUGGGAAUGCAGCUCAAAAUGGGUGGUAAAUUUCAUCUAAAGCUAAAUAUUGGCCAGAGACCGAUAGCGCACAAGUAGAGUGAUCGAAAGAUGAAAAGCACUUUGGAAAGAGAGUUAAACAGUACGUGAAAUUGUUGAAAGGGAAGCGCUUGCAAUCAGACUUGCGCGCGGCCGAUCAUCCGGGGUUCUCCCCGGUGCACUCGGUCGCGUUCAGGCCAGCAUCGGUUUGGGUGGUGGGAUAAAGGCCUUGGGAAUGUAGCUUCUUUCGGGGAGUGUUAUAGCCCUCGGUGCAAUGCCGCCUAUCCAGACCGAGGACCGCGCUUCGGCUAGGAUGCUGGCGUAAUGGUUGUAAGCGACCCGUCUUGAAACACGGACCAAGGAGUCUAACACUUAUGCGAGUAUUUGGGUGUCAAACCCAUAUGCGUAAUGAAAGUGAACGGAGGUGAGAACCCUUAAGGGUGCAUCAUCGACCGGUCCUGAUGUCUUCGGAUGGAUCUGAGUAAGAGCAUAAUUGUUAGGACCCGAAA
rnacentral:rRNA from 1 species